AUGGACCCUUCCAUCCCCUAUUCCCGUGGCUAUGCAUCGGAGUCGGAUGAUGAAGGUCCCGAUGAAGAAGUUGAUGAGGAGGGGUUCACGGUGAAGGAGGCCGAAGCUUUCGAGAAGGUAUUCGGGCGGGAUCAUCGGACACCAUUGUUCAAGGAUGUUAGUCUCGCGGAUGAAGCCGUGGUAGAUGGUGGCCAAGGUAUAUCUCUUGGAGUUAGGCCAAGUUCUCACCGGGAUUUGAAAGACGGCAAGAUCGGGAUUUCUCCCGGGUCUAACUUUGGAAGCUUCUUGGAGUUGAAGAUGUGGCUCGGCAACUACUCGUUUACACAUUAUCGUCCACACAAGGUGGUUCACUCGGACGUCAAUGUGUGUUACACGGUUGCAUGUGAAGACAAAAAAUGUCCAUGGAUUGUGCGUGCAAGACGAUGGAAAGGAGGGGCCGCUUGGCACGCAGUGAGUUGUGUACCAAGUCAGAUGUGCCGAGGCAAGAAGGUGGAUGGCAAGGUUGUGUCCCAAAACAACAGACAACUCAUUUCUGAGUUCAUAUCUUACAGGCUUUCCAACUCAAUAUCCAUACUUCCAACAAUGAGCAUCCAACAAGUCAUGGACCUUGUGAAAGCCAUCUUUCAUUACAAGGUGAAAUACGACAAGGCAUGGAAGGCGAAGCAAGCCGCAUUUAAUAUGUUGAAUGAUAAUUGGGAGGAAGCACACAACUGA
rnacentral:rRNA from 1 species